rnacentral:misc_RNA from 1 species
GUACCUUCAAGCUCUGCUUGGUGUUGGGUGUUUGUCCUUGCUCUAGUGGCGGGACUCGCCUUAAAGUAAUUGGCAGCCAGUGUUUUGGUUUUGAAGCGCAGCACAAGUCGCGAUUCAAGUCUAUACGCUAGUUUCCACAAGUCUUUUAUCAC